GUGUCAGCCGCCGCGGUAAUACGGAGGAUGCAAGCGUUAUCCGGAUUUAUUGGGUUUAAAGGGUGCGCAGGCGGUAUAAUAAGUCAGUGGUGAAAGUCUGCCGCUUAACGGUAGGAUUGCCAUUGAUACUGUUAGACUUGAGUAUGGAUGAGGUAGGUGGAAUGUGUAGUGUAGCGGUGAAAUGCAUAGAUAUUACACAGAACGUCGAUUGCGAAGGCAGCUUACUAAUCCAUUACUGACGCUGAGGCACGAAAGCGUGGGGAUCAAACAGGAUUAGAAACCCUCGUAGUCC
rnacentral:rRNA from 1 species